UACGUAGGGUGCAAGCGUUAAUCGGAAUGACUGGGCGUAAAGGGUGCGCAGGCGGUGUGUUAAGACGGAUGUGAAAUCCCCGGGCUCAACCUGGGAACUGCAUACGUGACUGGCAGACUGGAGUAUGGCAGAGGGAGGUGGAAUUCCACGUGUAGCAGUGAAAUGCGUAGAGAUGUGGAGGAACACCGAUGGCGAAGGCAGCCCCCUGGGUCAAGAUUGACGCUCAUGCACGAAAGCGUGGGGAGCAAACAGG
rnacentral:rRNA from 1 species